rnacentral:rRNA from 1 species
CUACGGGCGGCACCAGUGGGGAAUUUUGCGCAAUGGGCGAAAGCCUGACGCAGCAACGCCGCGUGCGGGAUGAAGGCCUUCGGGUCGUAAACCGCUUUCAGCAGGGAAGAAGUUGACUGUACCUGCAGAAGAAGCUCCGGCUAACUACGUGCCAGCAGCCGCGGUAAUACGUAGGGAGCGAGCGUUAUCCGGAUUUAUUGGGCGUAAAGCGCGCGUAGGCGGCUUGCCAAGCGGGAUCUCAAAACCGAGGGCUCAACCCCCGGACGGAUCCCGAACUGGCAGGCUCGAGUUCGGUAGGGGAAGAUGGAAUUCCCAGUGUAGCGGUGAAAUGCGCAGAUAUUGGGAAGAACACCGAUGGCGAAGGCAGUCUUCUGGGCCGCAACUGACGCUGAGGUGCGAAAGCUAGGGGAGCGAACAGGAUUAGAUACCCGGGUAGUC